GGUAAGUAGAAAGUGACUGCCUUAUAAUCAUUUGGGACUUUCCUAGUUUUGUUUAUAGGAUAUAUUCUGUGUGUAAGUUAAUCUAUUUUCUGCAUAACUAAAUAAUUGAAAAAUUCCCUUUUCUUUUACAGGGUGACUGAAAGAUCAACUCUAAAUACCACUUUUCAGGAACCUUAUUAAAACAAGAAUGUUUAAAAGUUUGGGGUCCAAUUUUCAUGUUAUGCAAUAGGAUGGCUAGUGGUUUCCAACCAAGUGACAGCUACUUUGGGCAGCAGGAAGAAAUCUGGACUUCCCACUCCUAUCUCAAACCAAAGUGAAAGUGAAAGCGU
rnacentral:lncRNA from 1 species